UCUUGAAUAUUAUUAUAGAUAGAGAUAAACUGUAAACAGCAAUAAUAUUCAGCAAAGUAAGAUCUACAAAUAAGUUGUCAUGACCAAAAUUGUCAGUCGACCCCUUUAGGAGUUAUUGCCCUUAAUAGUCAAUUUUUAACAAUUUUUCGUAAAUUUUUAUACGACCGCAAAAAUUGAAAAUUUUUUGGUCGUAUAUUGGUAUGACGUUGGCGUCGUCGUCGUCGGCGUCGUCCGAAGACACAUUGGUUUUCGCACUCUAACUUUAGUUUAAGUGAAUGGAUCUCCAUGAAAUUUUACCAUAAGGUUCAAUACCACGAAAGGAAGGUUGGGAUUGAUUUUGGGGGUUAUGGUACCAACAGUUAAGGAAUAAGGGGCCAAAAAUAAGCAUUUUUGUAACUUCCAGACAAUAACUUGUGUGUAAGUGUAUGGAUCUCUCUGACAUUGUACCACAAGGUUCCAUAUCACAAAGGGAAGGCUGUAAUUGAUUUUGGGGGUAAUUGCCUCAAAUUUUAGGAAUUAGGGGCCAAAAAAGGGGCAAAAAACAAGCAUUUUUCUAGUUUCAUGACAAUAACUUGUGUGUAAGUGUUUGGAUAUUUCUGAAAUUGUACUACAAGGUUCCAUAUCACAAAGGGAAAGCUGGAAUUGAGUUUGGGGGUAAUUGCCCGAAACGUUUAGGAAUUGGGGGCCAAAAAGGGGCAAAAAAUAAGCAUUUUUCUAGUUUCCAGACAAUAACUUGUGUUCAAGUGUAUGGAUCUCUCUGAAAUUGUACUGCAAGGUACCAUACCACAAAGGGAAGGCUGGGAUUGAGUUUGGGGGUGAUGAAUCAUAAGGGGGUUCAAAAAAUUUGGGGGGGGGAUUUUUUUUUUUCUUUUUUUUUCUUUUUUUCCUUUUUUUUUCUUUUAAAAUUUUCCAUUUUAAGUUUGUUAUUUCUGAUUAUUAUUUAAAAGCAAAUAAUAAUGAUAUGGUAGGAGAUACACACCAAACAGGAUGUGUAAAUUAUUAUAUAAUAAGUAUUGUGCAAUAGCAAGAAAUUUUCAAUUGCACAGUAUUGCACAAUUGCAAGAAAUCUUCAAUUGCACAGUAUUGCGCAAUAGCAAGAAAUCUUCAAUUGCACAGUAUUGCGCAAUAGCAAGAAAUAUCCAAUAGCACAAUAUUGUGCAAUAGCAAGAAAUUGUCAAUUGUACAGUAUUGCACAAUAGCAAGAAAUAUUCAAUUGCACAGUAUUGUGCAAAAGAAGAUACUUCGUAUAAAUUGCUUAUUUCUUGAUCAAUUUCAAUGGGGUUUUAUUCUUGAAUUCUUGGGGUUCUUUAAUAUGCUGAAUCUAACCGUGUAUUAAGUUUUUGGAUUUUGGGCCCAGUUUUUAAAUUGGUCCACAUUGAGGUCCAAAGGGUCCAAAAUUAAACUUUGUUUGAUUUUAGCAAAAAUUGAAUAUAUGAGGUUCUUUGAUAUGCUGAAUCUAAAUAUGUAUUUAGAUUUUUGAUUUUUGGCCCAGUUUUCAAGUUGGUCCAAAUUGGGGUCCAAAAUUAAACUUUGUUUGAUUUCAACAAAAAUUGAAUAUAUGGGGUUCUUUGAUAUGCUGAAUCUAACCAUGUAUUUAGAUUUUUUAUUUGUGGACCCCGUUAUCAAAUUGGUUCAUAUUGAGGUCAAAAGGGUCCAAAAUUAAACUUUGUUUGAUUUCAUCUAAAAUUGAAUUAUUGGGGCUCUUUGAUAUUCCAAAUCUAACCGUGUAUUUAGAUUUUUAAUUUUGGGUCCUGUUUUUUAAAUUGGUCUACAUUAAGGUCCAAAGGGUCCAAAAUUAAACUUAGUUUGAUUUUAACAAAAAUUGAAUUCUUGGGGUUCUUUGAUAUGCUGAAUCUAAACAUGUGUUUAGAUUUUUGAUUAUGGGCCCAGUUUUCAAGUUGGUCCAAGAUAGGGUCCAGUAUUUAAACUUUGUUUGAUUUCAACAAAAAUUGAAUAUAUGGGGUUCUUUGAUAUGCUGAAUCUAAACAUGUAUUUAGAUUUUUGAUUAUGGGCCCAGUUUUCAAGUUGGUCCAAAUUGGGGUCAAAAAUUAAACUUUGUUUGAUUUCAACAAAAAUUGAAUAUAUGAGGUUCUUUGAUAUGCUGAAUCUAACCAUGUAUUUAGAUUUUUUAUACGACCGCAAAAAUUAAAAAUUUUUUGGUCGUAUAUUGGUAUGACGUUGGCGUCGUCGUCGUCGUCGUCGUCGUCGUUGUCGUCGUCGUCGUCGUCGUCGUCGUCCGAAGACACAUUGGUUUUCGCACUCUAACUUUAGUUUAAGUGAAUGGAUCUCCAUGAAAUUUCACCAUAAGGUUCAAUACCACAAAAGGAAGGUUGGGAUUGAUUUUGGGGGUUAUGGUACCAAAGGUUAAGGAAUUAGGGGCCAAAAAGGGGCCAAAAAUAAGCAUUUUUGUAACUUUCAGACAAUAACUUGUGUGUAAGUGUAUGGAUCUCUCUGACAUUGUACCACAAGGUUCCAUAUCACAAAGGGAAGGCUGUAAUUGAUUUUGGGGGUAAUUGCCUCAAAAUUUUAGGAAUUAGGGGCCAAAAAAGGGGCAGAAAACAAGCAUUUUUCUAGUUUCAUGACAAUAACUUGUGUGUAAGUGUUUGGAUAUUUCUGAAAUUGUACUACAAGGUUCCAUAUCACAAAGGGAAAGCUGGAAUUGAGUUUGGGGGUAAUUGCCCGAAACGUUUAGGAAUUGGGGGCCAAAAAGGGGCCAAAAAUAAGCAUUUUUCUAGUUUACAGACAAUAACUUGUGUUCAAGUGUAUGGAUCUCUCUGAAAUUGUACUGCAAGGUACCAUACCACAAAGGGAAGGCUGGGAUUGAGUUUGGGGGUGAUGAAUCAUAAGGGGGUUCAAAAAAUUUUGGGGGGGGGAUUUUUUUUUUUUUUUUUUUCUUUUUUUCCUUUUUUUUUUCUUUUAAAAUUUUCCAUUUUAAGUUGGUUAUUUCUGAUUUAUAUUUAAAAGCAAAUAAUAAUGAUAUGGUAGGAGAUACACACCAAACAGGAUGUGUAAAUUAUUAUAUAAUAAGUAUUGUGAAAUAGCAAGAAAUUUUCAAUUGCACAGUAUUGCACAAUAGCAAGAAAUCUUCAAUUGCACAGUAUUGCGCAAUAGCAAGAAAUCUUCAAUUUAACAGUAUUGCGCAAUAGCAAGAAAUAUCCAAUAGCACAAUAUUGCGCAAUAGCAAGAAAUUGUCAAUUGUACAGUAUUGCGCAAUAGCAAGAAAUAUUCAAUUGCACAGUAUUGUGCAAAAGAAGAUACUUCGUAUAAAUUGCUUAUUUCUUGAUCAAUUUCAAUGGGGUUUUAUUCUUGAAUUCUUGGGGUUCUUUAAUAUGCUGAAUCUAACCGUGUAUUAAGUUUUUGGAUUUUGGGCCCCGUUUUUAAAUUGGUCCACAUUGAGGUCCAAAGGGUCCAAAAUUAAACUUUGUUUGAUUUCAUCAAAAAUUGAAUUAUUGGGGUUCUUUGAUAUGCCGAAUCUAACCGUGUAUUUAGAUUUUUAAUUUUGGGUCCCGUUUUUUAAAUUUGUCUACAUUAAGGUCUAAAGGGUCCAAAAUUAAACUUAGUUUGAUUUUAACAAAAAUUGAAUUCUUAGGGUUCUUUGAUAUGCUGAAUCUAAACAUGUGUUUAGAUUUUUGAUUAUGGGCCCAGUUUUCAAGUUGGUCCAAGUUGGGGUCCAAAAUUAAACUUUGUUUGAUUUCAACAAAAAUUGAAUAUAUGGGGUUCUUUGAUAUGCUGAAUCUAAACAUGUAUUUAGAUUUUAGAUUUUUGGCCCAGUUUUCAAGUUGGUCCAAAUUGGGGUCCAAAAUUAAACUUUGUUUGAUUUCAACAAAAAUUGAAUAUAUGGGGUUCUUUGAUAUGCUGAAUCUUACCAUGUAUUUAGAUUUUUUAUUUGUGGGCCCGCUAUCAAAUUGGUUCAUAUUGAGGUCAAAAGGGUCCAAAAUUAAACUUUGUUUGAUUUCAUCAAAAAUUGAAUUAUUGGGGUUCUUUGAUAUGCCAAAUCUAACCGUGUAUUUAGAUUUUUAAUUUUGGGUCCUGUUUUUUAAAUUGCUCUACAUUAAGGUCCAAAGGGUCCAAAAUUAAACUUAGUUUGAUUUUAACAAAAAUUGAAUUUUUGGGGUUCUUUGAUAUGCUGAAUCUAAACAUGUGUUUAGAUUUUUGAUUAUGGGACCAGUUUUCAAGUUGGUCCAAGUUGGGGUCCAAAAUUAAACUUUGUUUGAUUUCAACAAAAAUUGAAUAUAUGGGGUUCUUUGAUAUGCUGAAUCUAAACAUGUAUUUAGAUUUUAGAUUUUUGGCCCAGUUUUCAAGAUGGUCCAAAUUGGGGUCCAAAAUUAAACUUUGUUUGAUUUCAACAAAAAUUGAAUAUAUGGGGUUCUUUGAUAUGCUGAAUCUUACCAUGUAUUUAGAUUUUUUAUUUGUGGGCCCGCUAUCAGAUUGGUUCAUAUUGAGGUCAAAAGGGUCCAAAAUUAAACUUUGUUUGAUUUCAUCAAAAAUUGAAUUAUUGGGGUUCUUUGAUAUGCCAAAUCUAACUGUGUUUUUAGAUUUUUAAUUUAGGGUCCCGUUUUUUAAAUUUGUCUACAUUAAGGUCCAAAGGGUCCAAAAUUAAACUUAGUUUGAUUUUAACAAAAAUUGAAUUCUUCGGGUACUUUGAUAUGCUGAAUCUAACACAUGUUUAGAUUUUUGAUUAUGGGACCAGUUUUCAAGUUUGUCCAAGUUGGGGUCCAAAAUUAAACUUUGUUUGAUUUCAACAAAAAUUGAAUAUAUGGGGUUCUUUGAUAUGCUGAAUCUAACCAUGUAUUUUGAUUUUGGACAUUGGACCAUAAUAGGUAAAUUAAAAAAAUUGAAGUUCUAAGACCACAUUCUUUCUGUGUCAGAAACCUAUGCUGUGUCAAAUAUUUAAUCACAAUCCAAAUUCAGAGCUGUAUCAAGCUUGAAUGUUGUGUCCAUACUUGCCCCAACUGUUCAGGGUUCGACCUCUGCGGUCGUAUCAAGCUGCGCCCAGCGAAGCAUUUUAUUAUUUGUAGGCCCCGCUAUCAAAUUUGUUCAUAUUGAGGUCAAAAGGGUCCAAAAUUAAACUUUGUUUGAUUUCAUCAAAAAUUGAAUUAUUGGGGUUCUUUGAUAUGCCAAAUCUAACCGUGUUUUUAGAUGUUUAAUUUGGGUCCAGUUUUUUAAGUUGGUCUUCAUUGAGGUCCAAAGGGUCCAAAAUUAAACUUAGUUUGAUUUUAACAAAAAUUGAAUUCUUGGGGUUCUUUGAUAUGCUGAAUCUAAACAUGUGUUUAGAUUUUUGAUUAUGGGCCCAGUUUUCAAGUUCGUCCAAGUUGGGGUCCAAAAUUAAACUUUUUUUGAUUUCAACAAAAAUUGAAUAUAUGGGGUUCUUUGAUAUGCUGAAUCUAACCAUGAAUUUAGAUUUUUUAUUUGUGGGCCCCGCUAUCUAAUUGGUUCAUAUUGAGGUCAAAAGGGUCCAAAAUUAAACUUUGUUUGAUUUCAUCAAAAAUUGAAUUAUUGGGGUUCUUUGAUAUUCCAAAUCUAACCGUGUAUUUAGAUUUUUAAUUUUAAGUCCUGUUUUUUAAAUUGGUCUACAUUAAGGUCUAAAGGGUCCAAAAUUAAACUUAGUUUGAUUUUAGCAAAAAUUGAUUUCUUGGGGUUCUUUGAUAUGCUGAAUCUAAGCAUAUGUUUAGAUUUUUGAUUAUGGGCCCAGUUUUCAAGUUUGUCCAAGUUGGGGUCCAAAAUUAAACUUUGUUUGAUUUUAACAAAAAUUGAAUAUAUGGGGUUCUUUGAUAUGCUGAAUCUAACCAUGUAUUUUGAUUUUGGACAUUGGACCAUAAUAGGUAAAUUAAAAAAAUUCAAGUUCUUAGACCACAUUCUUUCUGUGUCAGAAACCUAUGCUGUGUCAAAUAUUUAAUCACAAUCCAAAUUCAGAGCUGUAUCAAGCUUGAAUGUUGUGUCCAUACUUGCCCCAACUGUUCAGGGUUCGACCUCUGCGGUCGUAUCAAGCUGCGCCCCAGCGAAGCAUUUUAUUGAUUAUGGGCCCAGUUUUCAAGUUGGUCCAAGUUGGGGUCCAAAAUUAAACUUUGUUUGAUUUCAACAAAAAUUGAAUAUAUGGGGUUCUUUGAUAUGCUGAAUCUAAACAUGUAUUUAGAUUUUAGAUUUUUGGCCCAGUUUUCAAGUUGGUCCAAAUUGGGGUCCAAAAUUAAACUUUGUUUGAUUUCAACAAAAAUUGAAUAUAUGGGGUUCUUUGAUAUGCUGAAUCUUACCAUGUAUUUAGAUUUUUUAUUUGUGGGCCCGCUAUCAAAUUGGUUCAUAUUGAGGUCAAAAGGGUCCAAAAUUAAACUUUGUUUGAUUUCAUCAAAAAUUGAAUUAUUGGGGUUAUUUGAUAUGCCAAAUCUAACCGUGUUUUUAGAUUUUUAAUUUUGGGUCCCAUUUUUAAAUUGGUCUACAUUAAGGUCGAAAGGGUCCAAAAUUAAACUUAGUUUGAUUUUAACAAAAAUUGAAUUCUUCGGGUAUUUUGAUAUGCUGAAUCUAAACAUGUGUUUAGAUUUUUGAUUAUGGGACCAGUUUUCAAGUUUGUCCAAGUUGGGGUCCAAAAUUAAACUUUGUUUGAUUUCAACAAAAAUUGAAUAUAUGGGGUUCUUUGAUAUGCUGAAUCUAACCAUGUAUUUUGAUUUUGGACAUUGGACCAUAAUAGGUAAAUUAAAAAAAUUUGAAGUUCUUAGACCUCAUUCUUUCUGUGUCAGAAACCUAUGCUGUGUCAAAUAUUUAAUCACAAUCCAAAUUCAGAGCUGUAUCAAGCUUGAAUGUUGUGUCCAUACUUGCCCCAACUGUUCAGGGUUCGACCUCUGCGGUCGUAUCAAGCUGCGCCCAGCGAAGCAUUUUAUUGUAAUCAU